rnacentral:rRNA from 1 species
UCCUCCAAGGCUAAAUACUCCUGACUGACCGAUAGUGAACCAGUACCGUGAGGGAAAGGCGAAAAGAACCCCGGCGAGGGGAGUGAAAAAGAACCUGAAACCGUGUACGUACAAGCAGUGGGAGCACAGGUUUACCUGUGUGACUGCGUACCUUUUGUAUAAUGGGUCAGCGACUUAUAUUCUGUAGCAAGGUUAACCGUAUAGGGGAGCCGUAGGGAAACCGAGUCUUAACCGGGCGUUAAGUUGCAGGGUAUAGACCCGAAACCCGGUGAUCUAGCCAUGGGCAGGUUGAAGGUUGGGUAACACUAACUGGAGGACCGAACCGAC